rnacentral:rRNA from 1 species
CUAGCUGUAAACGAUGGAUACUAGGCGUUGAGAGUAUCGACCCUCUCAGUGUCGUAGCUAACGCGUUAAGUAUCCCGCCUGGGGAGUACGCGCGCAAGCGUAGAAACUCAAAGGAAUUGACGGGGGCCCGCACAAGCGGUGGAGUAUGUGGUUUAAUUCGAUGCAACGCGAAGAACCUUACCAGGGCUUGACAUGUCCGGAACCCUGCCCGAAGGCGGGGGUGCCUACGGGAACCGGAACACAGGUGGUGC